rnacentral:rRNA from 1 species
CGUGCAGGCGGCCGAUCAAGUCUGAUGUGAAAGCCCGGGGCUUAACCUCGGAAGGGCGUUGGAAACUGGUCGGCUUGAGUUCGGGAGAGGAAAGCGGAAUUCCGGGUGUAGAGGUGAAAUUCGUAGAUAUCCGGAGGAACACCGGUGGCGAAGGCGGCUUUCUGGACCGAAACUGACGCUGAGACGCGAAAGCGUGGGGAGCAAACAGGAUUAGAUACCCUGGUAGUCCACGCUGUAAACGAUGGGCACUAGGUGUGGGGGGUUUUUAAUCCCUCCGUGCCGCAGCUAACGCAUUAAGUGCCCCGCCUGGGGAGUACGGCCGCAAGGUUAAA